CUUGCCUUGCUGCUUCCUCUCAGCCUUUAAACAGGUUGGCCUCUCCAAGUCCUAAAAACAAAAUUAUCAAGCCAACCUCCUCCUGAAGUGCUCCCUCCAACUAGCUUCCAAGUGUUUCAUGCGGACCUCAAACAAUGGUCUUCCCUGGCUGCCUCUGCUUCCUCAUUUCUCAACACUUGGCAUUCUGGCUUCUCCUCCCCAACUCUAACCCUUCACCUUGCUCAGGCAAGAGCAACUCAUGACUUUCAUUUUGCCAAACCUUGCAGGCAUUCCUCAGGCCUUAUCUCUCUGGUUCUUUCUGCUACAUUUGACACCUUGGGAUGACUCUCACCUUCUGGAAUCUCUCUACUACCUUGGUUUCAGAAGAGUGAACCCUCUGGAUUAUCACAUGAAGCUACUUCCUGUGAGCAGCCCAGGGAUGGCCAGUCACUUGUGACCUACUUUCAGAGCUGGCAGUUCUGACUUCUAGAACAAACUCGGAACAAGCCCAUCUACAGCUGGUUGACUGAGUUUCCUUUGGGCUCCUGGCACCAGAAAGAAUUGCUCACUGGAAGGAUCAUAGGUGGCACUCAUGUCUCACUGCCCCACUCAGGUAUGUAGAUUUUCAUUGCCCUAUAAACCACAGUCAACAUCUCAAGAUCUCCAGAAGGAUGUUUAUGAUCUUCUAUUUGCUAAAGACAGUUGCUUCCUUACGGUAAU
rnacentral:lncRNA from 1 species